rnacentral:lncRNA from 1 species
CUCUGGUGCUUUACAGGCGGUCCCUGAGGGUUCUCAGCAGUGGCCUGACAGUUUCACUGUGCCAGCUUCUGGCUGCCCGGGUCUUAGGACUUGCUGUCCUCCGUAUCAGGCGAUGACAAACAGAUGCUCUUGGUUCUGUUUCCCUGACGUCGAUGGAGAUUCUGGACAUUCUGCUUGCUCAUCUGAGUCUGUUUCGGUUUGGUUUUCGUGGUGCUGAGAACUCAGAGCCUCAGAGCCUCAUGCAUACCUCAGCCUCCGAGCCUCUACUUUGAAUUUGUUUGAAUUGGAAGCAAUUACUAGUAGAAGUGCCACUUUCCUGCCUUAAGAUUCUAAUAUUUACCAAAAAAAAAAAAAAGAUUCUAAUAUUUAUGAACUCCGAAUCUUACGAAAUACCCUGUUUUAUUUUUCUUUAUUUAUGGUGUAUGCCUGUGCUCAUUCAUACACGUGAAGGUCGGAGCCUCCACACAUGCCCUGGGGCACAUACAUGUGCCUUCUCCACAAAAUAAAUAAAACGUAAUUAAAAAC